rnacentral:lncRNA from 1 species
GGGGGCGGGGUGUCAGGUGCUCUGCUCAAGGCCGCCUAGCUCCCUCCCUGCAUCCUCGUUUGCUCACUGCUGUUUCUGAGUGUGUCACAGUUCCAGCUGUGUUCUGUGGUGGACAACAGUGUGUGACAGCCUUAUGGCCACAACAUCUUUGGGAAAGUCUGUUAUGUACAACUGCUUUGUGUUAGUGGUGCUUUACGACGGAGAGGAGACAGGCGAUGUCUGUGCUUUGCUUGUGUCUCAAGUGGGAGGAAAGAGAUGGAGCAGGAAGCUGCGUGUGAAAGCUGCCAGUGAUGGAUGCACCACAGGCACCAUAGAGACUGGCAAAGGCAAGAGGCCUCUGAAGAGAAAUGGAGCCCAUCACGUCCACAGCCAUCACAGGGGCCUGCGGGAACAGAACAGCAGUUGUUGCCCAGCCCAGUGCCCGGCCCAGCCUGUCUCAGGUGUUCUGUGUUGCCUGGGUCGGUUGAAGAAAGAGGUCAGGUCAAGAUGAAGUUCAAAGGCCUGUGUGUGGCAGCAGGGAGGUCCAGCCGUCAAUGAACUGAACCCUGAACAGCCAUACAAAGACAGCACCCAACCAGGCCCAGACAAGCGCAGUGACUUGGAAGUGAGCCUUCACCUCUAAUCUGGGCAGCGCCCUUGUUGGGAAAUUGCAGACUGUCUCCUGUUUCCAUGGAAAAGAGGUGCCACUGACGCAUGACUCAGUGCCAUUGCAGUCACUGAAGUUCACAUUUUCCAUAUUCUACAGAUGGUCCUGAAUUGCGCUAUAUUUGCAGGAUCCAUGCUCCACUCCUAUAAAAUACUGCAUGGAAUGACUUUUCAAAGUAAGAAGUGAUUUCAAAACAUCAUCCUGAAUAAGG